rnacentral:SRP_RNA from 1 species
CGCAGGGUCCCGGCCGAAUACGAGUCUCGUGAACCCCGUCAGGUCCGGAAGGAAGCAGCGGUAGCGCGGCUUCGAUUGCGGACGGGGGCGCCCUGCGAUC